rnacentral:rRNA from 1 species
AAUAGAUACCCAGGUAGUCCACGCCGUAAACGAUGAGUGCUAGGUGUUAGGGGGUUUCCGCCCCUUAGUGCUGCAGCUAACGCAUUAAGCACUCCGCCUGGGGAGUACGGUCGCAAGACUGAAACUCAAAGGAAUUGACGGGGGCCCGCACAAGCGGUGGAGCAUGUGGUUUAAUUCGAAGCAACGCGAAGAACCUUACCAGGUCUUGACAUCCCGCUGACCGCCAUGGAGACAUGGCCUUCCCUUCGGGGACAGCGGUGACAGGUGGUGCAUGGUUGUCGUCAGCUCGUGUCGUGAGAUGUUGGGUUAAGUCCCGCAACGAGCGCAACCCUUGUCCUUAGUUGCCAUCAUUCAGUUGGGCACUCUAAGGAGACUGCCGUACAAAUACGGAGGAAGGUGGGGAUGACGUCAAAUCAUCAUGCCCCUUAUGACCUGGGCUACACACGUGCUACAAUGGGUGGUACAAAGGGCAGCAAACCCGCGAGGGGGAGCGAAUCCCAAAAAGCCACUCUCAGUUCGGAUUGCAGG